ACAUUUUAGUGAGCGAUAAGCUAUCCUGAAAAAUUUAUAUAGCAACGGGGUGAGCAUAUAAAGCUCAGCAAGUGACUAACAUAUCCAUAGCAAAGAGACAGGUUUCAAACAAAUAAGGUAUCAAAAUACAAAGCAGAGAUACAAGAUGAAACAGUAGCAUGUUUUGUUUGAAUGCAGAAUUACAAUGUCAUAUCGUUCGAAGCACGUUUUGUUCAUACAAUCGAGAAAAGGUAAUUGGAGCAUAUCAUUGGCAUAAGGAGCAUAUCGAUGACAUAUGAUAAUUUCAAGGCAUAACAAAGACGUAAGGAGCAUUUUGGAUAUCAUGAAUGCAGAAUUACGAUGUCAUUUCGUUUGAAUCACGUUUUGUUCAUACAAUCGAGGAAAGAUAAUUGGAGCAUACCAUUGACAUAAAGAGCAUACCGAUGACAUUUGGUAAUUUCAAGGCAUAACAAAGACGUAAGGAGCAUUUUGGAUAUCAAUGGCAUAUGAAAUAGUUCGGAACAUAUCAAUGGUGAAUGAAAUGCUUCAGAACAUAUCAAUGGCAUAUGAAAAUAUUUUGGAAGCAUAAGAAGCAUUUCAGAACAUAUCAAAGAACAAAUACGAAAUAGAAUCUCAGACGUCGUACUCUAGCAUAGUGCAUGUGAGGUUUAACUCAG
rnacentral:lncRNA from 1 species